GACAGAGGUGCCAAGCGUUAGGCGGAAUCACUGGGCUUAAAGCGUGUGUAGGCGGGUCGUUAAGUGUCUUGUGAAAUCCCCCGGCUCAACCGGGGAAUGGCUGGGCAUACUGGCGAUCUUGAGCAGUUCAGGGGCAGAUGGAACAAGUGGUGGAGCGGUGAAAUGCGUAGAUAUCACUUGGAACGCCAAAGGUGAAAACAGUCUGCUGGGCCGACACUGACACUGAGAGACGAAAGCUAGGGGAGCGAAUGGG
rnacentral:rRNA from 1 species